AUUGAACGCUGGCGGCAGGCCUAACAAAUGCAAGUCGAGCGGAGCGGCGGACGGGUGAGUAAUGCCUAGGAAUCUGCCUGGUAAUGGGGGAUAACGUACGGAAACGGGCGCUAAUACCGCAUAGUAUCAGAUGAGCCGAGGUGGGAUUAGGUAGUGGGUGGGGUAAAGGCCUACCAAGGCGACGAUCCGUCACUGGUCUGAUAGGAUGAUCAGUCACACUGGAACUGAGACACGGUCCAGACUCCCACGGGAGGCAGCAGUGGGGAAUAUUGGACAAUGGGCGAAAGCCUGAGCCAGCCAUGCCGCGUGUGUGAAGAAGGUCUUCGGAUUGUAAAGCACUUUAAGUUGGGAGGCGUUACCAACAGAAUAAGCACCGGCUAACUUCGUGCCAGCAGCCGCGGUAAUUC
rnacentral:rRNA from 1 species